AGUAAGAAUCAUUUUACGUUAUUUAACAGGAUAUCGGAGCAGAAAACUAAAUGCAAGAGAGAGUGAAUACAAAAAAUUAAAACAAGUUCUUUUACGGCUAAAAUUUUUAAAGAACAGCGAUCGAUUUAUGUUUUUUUUUUUCUUUUUUGAGAGAUAGAUAGAUAGCACGCUACCUGUUUCGUUUAUUUUAUUUAGAAAUAAACUUAGCUGGAAAUGUAAAUCUACUAGGAUUCGAAUUUGGAAUUUCGGGUACCAACCACCAAACUCUUUCUCACUUGCUCUAGCGAUCGAUUUGUGUUAUUCAACACUUACGUAGGUAUCGCUUUUCCCAUUUAUUCU
rnacentral:lncRNA from 1 species